CGAAAUGCGAUAAGUAGUGUGAAUUGCAGAAUUUAGUGAAUCAUCGAAUCUUUGAACGCACAUUGCGCCCCUUGGUACUCCAUGGGGCACGCCUGUUCGAGCGUCAUCUACACCCUCAAGCUAUGCUUGGUGUUGGGCGUCUGUCCCGCCUCCGCGCGCGGACUCGCCCCAAAUCCAUUGGCAGCGGACUCGCCCCCUCCCGCGCAGCACAGUGCGCUUCGCGAGGUGUUGCGGCUCGCUUCCACGAAGCACCCAUUACCGUCUUUGACCUCGGAUCAGGUGUGAAAACCCGCUGAACUUAAGC
rnacentral:misc_RNA from 1 species